UUUUAUGGAGAGUUUGAUCCUGGCUCAGGAUGAACGCUGGCGGCGUGCCUAAUACAUGCAAGUCGAGCGAACAGACGAGGAGCUUGCUCCUCUGACGUUAGCGGCGGACGGGUGAGUAACACGUGGAUAACCUACCUAUAAGACUGGGAUAACUUCGGGAAACCGGAGCUAAUACCGGAUAAUAUAUUGAAUCGCAUGGUUCAAUAGUGAAAGACGGUUUUGCUGUCACUUAUAGAUGGAUCCGCGCCGCAUUAGCUAGUUGGUAAGGUAACGGCUUACCAAGGCAACGAUGCGUAGCCGACCUGAGAGGGUGAUCGGCCACACUGGAACUGAGACACGGUCCAGACUCCUACGGGAGGCAGCAGUAGGGAAUCUUCCGCAAUGGGCGAAAGCCUGACGGAGCAACGCCGCGUGAGUGAUGAAGGUCUUCGGAUCGUAAAACUCUGUUAUUAGGGAAGAACAAAUGUGUAAGUAACUAUGCACGUCUUGACGGUACCU
rnacentral:rRNA from 1 species